UCUCCGGAUCGUGCUGCUCGACACAAAGGGGCACACGGUGGAUGCGCGCUUUCUUCGAUCCGGUGAGUGGAUCGACAUUGGGGAUAUUGUCGCUUUUCCUUGCCAUUUCGCUAGGGUUUGUGAUAGAUCUCCGGCGAACGGCGGAUUUUCCGGCGAGGAUGCGCCGCCGCGUGGCCCUACUCACAGGCACACGGUACACGGGGGCGGUCGUGCGGAUCUGGACGUGCACCGCCGAGUUCCACAUCUGACAGAUGGACCCGGGGUCCUUGGGCGUGGACCGGUCCGCCAUGAGACGGAUGCGCGACACGUAGAUGAGGGGGAAUCGGACCGCCAUGAGUGCGAUGGAGCUAGGGUUUCUGGGGGCACCGCGGGUAUAAAACAUACGGGUGCCACCCCUUCUCCCAUUUUGGAUCUCGACGAGGGGCUCGCCCACUUCUGGAGCGCUCCGUCUCUCGCCAGAUCUGGGGUUCAGCCAAACUUCGCUUGGUGGGAUGGCAAAAUCCAUGGCGACCUUCGCUCCUUUGCUCAAGUAGUUGCCUCUCAACCCUCCACAAAUCCCCUUGCUGGAUCCAUAGAGAAGCCACCUGUUAGGUUUUCCGUGAAUCCUUCCGAUAGAUCCAAAGAGAAGCCAACUGUUGAGAUGAGAGGGGAUGGUUUCGGUGCGGGCCGCCAGGGACGCGGCGCUGGGCGAUUCGAUCGUGGCCGCGGCCGCGGCCGCGACUUCGACUCCCACGUCUGGAAGCGCAAGACGGAGAUGGGGAGCUCCUCCACUACCAACGACAAGUGGGAAGAGGCGGCCGGCGGUUUGCAGGCGAACCGAACCCGGCAAUCCCGAUGGGAUGGGGAUGGCGGUGACCUGCAAGACUCCCAGGAGACGGCGGCGACUGAGGGGCGGCAGGAAGCUCCUACCCAUCGUCAAGAGACGCGUGGUGGAGACAGCGGAAGCGACAAGGCGCACCGCACCUUCGACAAGAACAACGUCUCUGCCGUGAACCGCGAGUAUUCCUCUUCUGGUAUUAUCACUCCACCUUGUGAUGCUUGUCAGAUCUGCCAUGUUCCUGGGCAUUUUACUGUUAGAUGCCCUCAAGCUUUCUGUGAGAGAUGUAAAAAAAGAGGUCACCUAUCCUUUGUUUGCAAUGAGUUCUUCCCUUGGGAUCACACACCUGUGAUGUGUGCAUUUCAAACUAAGGGUCAGGGUUUCUUUUACAUUCCUGACUACAGCGUGGAUAGGCAGAGCAGGGAAAACAUUUUCAAUAUAGUUGUCACCAUUACUGAGGGCUCGGCUCAGACCAAAGAUAUUGAGCAUGAGUUAAGUGUGUAUCUUGGCCAGGGGUGGCGUUGCUCUGCUAGAUUCUUUGCUCCUCAAAAGUUUGUUAUGAGAAUGCCGAAUCCUAGAGAGGUUGACAGAGCUCUUUUUGUUGAGAAUAUUAAGUUGAAAAAUUGUGGGGUUAGUGUCAAGUUCUCUCCAUGGUCUGAGGAUAUUGAUUCUGAGGGACUGUUAGAGAUUGCUUGGGUUAAGAUUGGGAAAAUUCCACCUAACAAGAGAUGUGAUAAAACUGUUGCUUAUGUGGGAGGGUUAGUUGGAAUUACCCUGGAUGUUGAUAUGUCAACUAUAAAUCGUCCCUCUUCUGUUAGAGCUAAAAUUGGUUGUAGAUCGAUAGCUCAACUUCCCGCCACUGCUGAAGGGGUGCUUGCAGGACGUUUCUGCAAGUUCACCUAUGAGGUUGAGGAGGUUUUGGUUAAAAAUCCUGUGAAUGCAGAAACUGUGGAUCCUAUUCCUGAUGAAAGGACCAAGCCAAAUCAGACACCUAAGAGGAGACGUACUGAACAAGAGAAAGGAGUGCCGCAGCCUGAGUCUGCUGGACGUGACAACAUUGGGGGUUCCUAUCGUGGUGGCAAGGCAUGUCGCCUGCUAUACGAUGAUAAAGAGGGAUCUCCCUCUACUGAAAGUGAUGAAGAUAAUUCUCUACUUAUUGAAACGCUGCAGAAAGAAAUCGAGGAAAAAAUGAAAGAAGAUGGCAUGGACUCCUCUAAUUGGAUUGUCCCUAGGAAUCCUGAUGUCAUGGAGACUACUGUUCAAGAUAUACAGGUGAAAGAAGUCAUACAUAAUAAAUCUACCUCGACUUGUCAAACUGCUACUAACCCUUCUCAGAUUGUGGAGGUGACUGGUGCGGUGGACCCUGGGUUGAAGACCUCAUGCAGCUAUAUGGUACAACUCCCAUCCUCUGAAAACAUGGAGGAGAUCAUUCUUACCCCUCCACUGGCAACUGAAGCCCCACUGAGAUUCAGCAAACGUAACGCCUCUGGGAUGCAGGACAAGAUUGAGGACAAGGCCAAGAAACUGGCUAGUAAGAAAAAUCUGGAAGGUAACAAUACCCAUGCUUCCAAAAAUUCCUUUGAUGUACUUUCUGACAAUGAGUUGAUUAGUAGAGCUAAUAAGAUAGGGGCAGACAUACCCAAUGAUAAUUUCGCUGUUGUUGACAUUAUUAGAGAGCUUGAAUGCGCCCGUAAAGAAUUAGAAGAUAAAAGGGAAGAUAACAACACUGAAAUAGUGCGGGAUAACUUGAUUGUGACAGACGGUUUGGGUAGGAACACCCCUGUGAAUUUAGAAUGGCUGGACGAGGAAGAACAUAUAUAUGAACAUAUCUCUUCUGUUAAACCUAAGAAAAAAAACAUAGCAAAUCUGCUGUCAAAAUUCCUAGGCCUGUGACUAGGAGUCAGAAAAGAAACACUUCUGAGGAAGAUUUGUUAGGUAACCCUGCCCCGUCCCCUGGUAGGGUUACUCAGACCAAAUUCCACAAAAAACGUUCCAAAUGAGAGGACUCAUUUGGAACUGUCGAGGGGUGGGCAAGAAAGGGAUGGCCACCUGCCUCUCAGACAUGAUUAGUGACCAUUCCCUUGACUUCUUAGGUCUGCAAGAAACUAUGAAGAAAAAGUUCACACCUAAAUGUUUGAGGAGAAUUGACCCCUUUGACAUAUUCCAAUGGAACUGGGUGCCUUCUAUUGGCAAAUCUGGGGCAUUUUGUGUGGUGUGAGGAGAGACACUCUGGAUAUAAUAUCCUGUGCUAUAGGCAAAUAUGUAUUACAACUAAUACUGUAUGACAAAAAGAAGAAAAUACAGUGGGGUUUGCUGGUAGUUUAUGGAUCGGCACAUGAUGAGUUCAAAAAUGACUUCCUGAUUGAGCUGGCAUCCUUUUGUAGUGGCAUUACCGUGCCCUACAUAGUGGGGGGAGACUUUAAUAUCCUGAGACAUGCAGGGGAGAAGAAUAAGAAGAUGAUGAACAACAAAGCCACUGACCUGUUCAACUCCAUUAUCAAUACACUAGCUCUUAGAGAAAUUCAUAUCAGUGGGGGUAAAUAUACAUGGACCAAUAAUCAGUCCCACCCCACGCUUGAGAAGCUAGAUCGAAUUCUUAUGUCUGAAUGCUGGGAAGAUAUCUUCCCUCUAGUCUCUGUGAGGAAAUUGGUUCGGGAGAUUUCUAACCAUAAUCCACUACUGUUGUCCUCCGGGGAAGAAGGGCAGAAGGGCGUGAAGCCCCGAAACCUCGUGAAUUUCGUUUUAAUCUGUCCUGGAUCAAUGAUGAAAAGUUCCUGCCCACUGUGGGGAAAAUUUGGGCCAGGAAAGUGGCUUCAUCUGAUCCUAUUGAUGUCCUGAAUAUCAAGUUAAAAAGAUUCAAAACUUACUUUAAAGGCUGGGGUUCAGAUAAAUAUGGCCACGAUAAAAAGAGAAAAGAGGACUUACGUAUGGAAUUAGCUAUGCUGGAGGAACUAGAAGAAGAAGAUAUGUUACCUCCUGACUUAUAUAGUAGAAAAGUGGAUAUCAACGCUGAGCUCUAUGAGCUCCUCGUGAAUGAGGAAAUCUUUUGGCUUCAACAGUCUCGUGAGCGCUGGCUUCUUAAAGGAGACUUGAAUACUGACUAUUAUCACAAAAUUGCUAAUGGUCGAAAACGUAAAAAUACUAUCCAAUCACUUAGAACGGGAGAAACAGUGAUUGAAGGCACGAACAAUCUGAUUGCACAUGCAACUGAGUUUUACAAAAAUUUAUUCGGACCAGCCCCUGGUAACCAGAUUCAUCUUGAUCCGGGAACCUGGUCGACUGAGGAGAAAUUAGAUGAAGAAGAUAAUAAGGAUCUUUGCCGAGAAUUUACUGAACAGGAGGUCAAAGAGGCUCUAUUUGAUAUGGCCCCUAAUCGAGCCCCUGGACCCGAUAAUAUUCCUGCUGAGUUCUAUCAAGUGUGCUGGGAUAUAGUUAAAGACGACAUUAUGGCCCUUUUUAAAGCUUUUCAUCAAGGGACGUUGGAUGUCCAGAGGCUUAAUUAUGGAAUUAUUACUCUGCUCCCAAAAGUUUCUGGAAUCGAGAAAAUACAGCAGUACAGGCCUAUUUGCCUGCUGAGGUGCCCAUAUAAACUUAUUACCAAAGUCCUCGAUCGAAGAGUUGCUAUAUAUGCAAACAAACUCAUUAGCCCUACUCAGAACGCCUUUGUAAAAGGAAGAAAUAUCAUGGAUGGAGUUUUGUCCCUCCAUGAAAUUCUUAACUACACUUAUUUUUAAGAAAAAAGUGGGGAUUGUCCUUAAAUUGGACUUUGAAAAAGCAUAUGAUAAUGUGAAUUGGGACUUCCUCCUAGAAUGCCACAAGAUGCGGGGCUUUAACGAUACCUGGUGCAGAUGGAUCGAACAGAUACUGCAUAAUGGGACAGUUAGCAUCAAACUUAAUGGUAGUGUUGGGCCAUAUUUUCAAAGCAAAAAAGGGGUAAGACAGGGAGACCCACAUUCUCCUUUCCUAUUCAAUCUAGCCGUUGAAUGCCUUACCAAAAUGAUAAAAAAUGCCCAAAGAAACAAAGUUAUUAGGGGUCUGGCUGCUGACCUUAUUCCUGAUGGGGUGGCGGUCCUACAAUAUGCGGAUGAUACUAUCAUUUGCAUUGAAGAUGAUGUUGAUAAGGCAGUCAACCUGAAGUUGCUGCUGUAUAUGUUUGAGAUGAUGUCCGGCCUGAAAGUUAACUUUCAGAAAAGUGAAAUUCUCACUGUGGGUGGAGAUGAAAGUGUGGUGAACAAAUAUGCAGAAAUCUUUAAUUGUGAGGUUGGCAGUUUUCCACUCAAAUAUUUGGGGAUGCCUGUGAGCUAUGCUAAUCUAAAAACAUCCGAUUGGGAGUUUAUUGUUAGUAAAUACCUGAAGAGGUUCGAGGCCUGGAUUGGAAACGCUGCCUCGAUGGGGGGAGACACACCCUACUGGACUCCGUCGUCACGCAGAUCUCUCUCUAUCACAUGUCUAUGUGGCUCAUGAAUAAAACUUUCAUUGAAAAGCUAGAUAAGCAUAGGCGCAAGUUCUUUUGGCAAGGCUGCAACAAAAAAGGAGAUACUAUCUUGUUAAGUGGGGCAAGAUAUGUAGAUCCAAAGACAAAGGGGGUUUAGGUAUAAAAGAUCUUCGUAAGCAAAAUAUUAGUCUCAUGGUUAAAUGGUGGUGGAAGUUAGAGACACAAAAUGGGCUGUGGCAGGAUAUAGUCCGGGCCAGGUAUCUUCGCAACAAUUCUGUUGCGGAAGUUUCUUCCAAAUUCUCUGACUCGCCCUGUUGGAAAGCCUUGCUUAAGAUCAAAAACAUCUAUAUGAUGGGCAGAAAGAUUGAGACUGGUGCUGGGAACUUGAUUAGAUUAUGGAAAGAUCCAAUAAAUGGGCUGAUCCCAUUUCAGGAUCAAUAUCCACGCUUAUUUGAGAUCUGCAAUUAUCCAACGAGCACCCUGGACAAAAGAGAUGAACUUGAUGACACUUCUAUAUUCAGACGCAGGCUUACUCCUGAGCUGUUCAAACAGUGGGUAAAUAUGCGCACUAUAGUGAAAAGUAUUCCCCUUGAUGAGAGGAGUGAUCGUGUCUUUUGGGGACUAAAUCAGAAUGGCAAGUUCACCACUAAGUCAGUCUAUAAGAUGUUGGAGAGACCCCUAAGUGGGUGCCAUUAUAGAUGGAUUUGGAAAGCCAAGAUUCCUCUUAAAAUCAAAAUCUUCCUAUGGCAAAUGUCACGGGACGCAAUUCUCACUAGGCAAGUGAUGAGCAAGAGAAAAUGGCCGGGGAAUCCCUGUUGUUCUUUCUGCAAACAGGUGGAAACGGUGCAACAUCUGCUCUUUACUUGCCCCGUGGCCAGAAUUGUCUGGCGAUCUAUUGGAGUAGUUCUUGGCACUGAUACAUGCCCGUCGAAUUACUGGCAAUACUUCGUAUGGUGCCACAAAUAUCUUCCUGGGAAGCAAACGUUUUAUACAGUGGGCUUAGCAGCCACAUGUUGGGCCAUUUGGUUGGCGCGCAAUCGAGCUACUUUUGAAAAGAAACAAAUCAAGACUCCUUUUGAGAUUGUGUUUUCUCUAUGCUCUUUUCUUCUUUACUGGACAGGGCUACAACAAGGAGAGGACGCCAAAGAGCUGCGCACUGGAGCUGAGAUGAUCAGGACUAGCACAUUGCAGCUUAUGAAGAUGUGUGGUGCUGUCAAGCAACCAAUCCAAGGUGCCUGACGUUUUCUGGAGUUGCGCUGGAUGAAGAGCUGCCGGGCGCGCGAUUUCGUUGCUGUCUCUUCCCGGAGAAGAUAGCUUUAUGCUUGUUUGACACUCGGCUGUGUUUUGAUACUUAGUAUGAUCUUUUGAGAAAUGUAAUAGGCUAGAUGGUAUGACGUGCUAUCCAGGUUUUCGCCCCAUGAUACUCGUUUCGACGGCGAGCGAGUAUGGUGGGUUUCCUGGUAGUGCUUGAACUCGCUAUACCUCUUUCCCUUCUCCUGUCUUUCUCGCUUGAACUGGUUGUAUUUCCGUUCUUUGCAAUGGAAAGGGGUAAAGCCCGGUUCAAUUUUUUUUUGCACAAAUAGUUUUAAGUUGAGGAUUAGGAUUUGGAUGGUCCACUUACUAUCUGAUCCCCUGAAACACCAAACACAUCAGUAUUAUAUGAUGGCAAGCUUUUAAAUUAGGAUAUCCUUUUCAUCUCAAAAAUAAAAUCUCGAGUUAUCAUGCCAC
rnacentral:lncRNA from 1 species